GGCUCUGUGGAGCUAUGGACAGCGCAUUUGACAUCUUGGUGAGAGAAGAACGCAUUCAAAGGUUGUGGGUUCGAGUCCCACCAGAGUCA